GCCAGUAUAGCUCAGAGGUAGAGCAGCGCCUUCAUAAGACGUGGGUCGGGGGUUCGAAUCCCUCUACUGGCA
rnacentral:tRNA from 1 species